CUGGCGGCGUGCUUAACACAUGCAAGUCGAACGGGGAGUUAUCGAGCGGAGGGCUUCGGCCGGAAGGUUGGUAAUUCGAGUGGCGGACGGGUGAGUAACGCGUGAGCAACCUGUCCCAGACAGGGGGAUAACACUUGGAGACAGGUGCUAAUACCGCAUAAGACCACGGGGUCACAUGGCCCAGGGGUAAAAGGAGGAAUCCGGUUUGGGGUGGGCUCGCGUCCGAUUAGAUAGUUGGUGAGGUAAAGGCCCACCAAGUCGACGAUCGGUAGCCGACCUGAGAGGGUGAUCGGCCACAUUGGAACUGAGAGACGGUCCAAACUCCUACGGGAGGCAGCAGUGGGGAAUAUUGGGCAAUGGGCGAAAGCCUGACCCAGCAACGCCGCGUGAGUGAAGAAGGCCUUCGGGUUGUAAAGCUCUGUUAUAGUUGACGAAGGAAGUGACGGUAGGCUAUAAGGAAGCCCCGGCUAACUACGUGCCAGCAGCUGC
rnacentral:rRNA from 1 species